UGGGGAAUUUUGGACAAUGGGCGAAAGCCUGAUCCAGCAAUGCCGCGUGUGUGAAGAAGGCCUUCGGGUUGUAAAGCACUUUUGUCCGGAAAGAAAUCCUUGGCUCUAAUACAGUCGGGGGAUGACGGUACCGGAAGAAUAAGCACCGGCUAACUACGUGCCAGCAGCCGCGGUAAUACGUAGGGUGCAAGCGUUAAUCGGAAUUACUGGGCGUAAAGCGUGCGCAGGCGGUUUGCUAAGACCGAUGUGAAAUCCCCGGGCUCAACCUGGGAACUGCAUUGGUGACUGGCAGGCUAGAGUAUGGCAGAGGGGAGUAGAAUUCCACGUGUAGCAGUGAAAUGCGUAGAGAUGUGGAGGAAUACCGAUGGCGAAGGCAGCCCCCCUGGGCCAAUACUGACGCUCAUGCACGAAAGCGUGGGGAGCAAACAGGAUUAGAUACCCUGGUAGUCCACGCCCUAAACGAUGUCAACUAGUUGUUGGGGAUUCAUUUUCCUUAGUAACGUAGCUAACGCGUGAAGUUGACCGCCUGGGGGAGUACGGUCGCAAGAUUAAAACUUAAAUGAAUUGACGGGGUCAUAGCUG
rnacentral:rRNA from 1 species